AAUAGCCCAGUGACUAGGGCACUUGCCUGGCAAAUAGGAAACCUGGGUUCACGUCCCUGUU
rnacentral:tRNA from 1 species